GACUCAAAGAAAAGGAUUCUAAACUAGACGAAAUGGGGAAAACUCUUUCUGUAAAGCAGGAUUCAGUUGCACGUUUGGAGCAAGACCUAUCAAACUGUAGAGUGGAACUAGCAGAGACAGAAAAGAGAAUUAAUGAUAUUACACAAUCUGAGGUUAGCCUAAAAUAUGAAGUGGACAUGCAUAAGAAAAUGCUGGUUUCAUGGAAGAUCAAGAAUGACUUGUUGUCAAAGGAGGUUCAACAACUUUUAAAGCAAUUAGAUGAAAUCAAACAAGGGAAAAAGUUGACUACUGAUACAACUGGUGAUCAUGCAAUGAAAGAAGAGAAGGACACCAGAAUACAGACUCUUGAAAAAACAGUGGAGAGACAACGAGAUGAAUUAAAGAAGGAGAGGGAAGAAAAUCGAAUGGAGAAAGGCAGACGAAUUAAGACUGAAGCAAUAAAGGAUUCUUACAACAAUGUUGAGCAGGAGAAAGCAAAGUUUAUUAAUGAACUUGAGAGGCACAAAGAGGCUCUAAAACGAUUAUCCGGGGAAGUUGAAAAAGUCAAGGAUGUUGGCAAUCUUCCUGAGGGAGCAAAUGCAGUUCAACUUCUUUCUGGAUCCAAUGUUGACGACUUAGCUGCUCCAUAUGUAUCUGCUGUUGAAAGCUUUUAGAAGGAAGCUCAUUCAGUAUUUUUUGAGCUUGGAGGCCAUGUGAACCUUGGUGAUGCAACAAAAGUUGUGGAUACUUCUGCUGCUGCUACAGGUUUUUGCAGUGUACAUUAAGAUUACUUAAAAAACGUGAGCUAUCGCGAGAGUCUGGCGAGCAGUAAAAUGCUUCGGUGGUACAUGCAUCAACCCCUAGCGUCAUAUCCUUGCCAGCUGUUGGUGUAAGCGGUUUAUCCCCUAAAGCCACCACAUAUAGUGAUAAAAGACCUCCAUUUUCCCGGCCAAGUGCAGA